rnacentral:rRNA from 1 species
AUGGACAUGAACGAGAGCAGCGAGAAAGGGAUGGAGGGCAAUGGGUCCUCUGGCCCCGGCGGCGGCAUCCCCGUGGAGUGGCAGAGCCAAUUCAGCGGCGGCGGCUUCUCGGCGCACCAGCACCAGCAUCCCCACAUGAUGGACUCCUUCGCGUCGGGCAUGUGGUCGGCGGCCUCGCAGCAUGGCGCGGGGUUCCUGGCGCCGGUGCCCGGGUUCCUCCCGCCGCCUGGCCUAGGUGGCCAUUUCCCGGUGGACUCGGGCUUCAUCGAGCGCGCCGCGCGAUCGUCGUGCUUCGUCGGCCCCGGCGCUGGCGGUGGGAUGAUGGGCGCCGGCGCCUACGGCGGGGCGGGCGAUCAGCACAUGGGCAGCGCUUUCGGGGAGGGGUACUUGGAUCAUCGUAGGAAGGAAGGCGGGGACAAGGCCGAGCCGGAGCUCGCCGGGAGCGGAGGCGUGCCGAGCUCGGAGGCAGCCGGCGGAGACUGCUCGUCCAAAGGGUCAGACUCCAAGAAGAGGAGAAGGCCCAGCGAGGCGAUGGGUGGAGGCGAUCAGGUUCAGUCUUCCAACGUGGCCGCUGACUCCGCAAACGAGAGCGCCCAGAGCAAAGAUAAAGGCGAGGAGAGCAGCCCGGCGACGGGGACGACGACCGGCGGCAAGUCCAAGGGGAAGGGUGCCAAGGAGAGCUCCGAGAAGGAAGACUACAUCCAUGUCCGAGCCCGGCGCGGGCAGGCAACCAACAGCCACAGCCUUGCUGAAAGGCUGAGAAGGGAGAAGAUCAGUGAGAGGAUGAAGCUUCUACAGGACCUUGUUCCCGGCUGCAGCAAGGUCACCGGGAAGGCGGUGAUGCUCGACGAGAUCAUCAACUAUGUUCAGUCCCUGCAAAGACAAGUUGAGUUCUUAUCGAUGAAGCUGGCGACAGUAAACCCGAGGCUUGACCUCAACAUAGAAGGGCUUCUCUCAAAGGAUCUUCUUCGCUUCCCUGGAGUGUCUUCGUCGUCCAUGGGAUUCUCCCCGGAGAUGAUGCACCCGCAGCUGCAGCUGUCGCAGCCGGGGCUGAUGCAGGGAGGCGCCGCCGCCAUGGCAAACUCGGACGUGUUCAGAAGAAUCAUGCAAGCGCAACUAGGAGCAAAAGAUGGAUCCCAUUCCCAGAUGGCCCACGCAUUGAAUGGCCCGUUCAGCGAUCACGUUGCGCAGAUGGCUUACCCGUCCAUGGGCUCCUCGCACUCGCACUCGCAGGACCUCAGCAUCAGGCCGUCCCAGGACGCCUACCAAAUGUGA